rnacentral:rRNA from 1 species
UGCAGAAUCCCGUGAACCAUCGAGUUUUUGAACGCAAGUUGCGCCCAAAGCCAUUAGGCCAAGGGCACGUCUGCCUGGGCGUCUCGC